CUCUCUCUCUCUCCCGAGUUCCCUUUCUUCUUCCUCUUCCUUUGAACUGGUACGGACACACACACAACUACACUAUUUCACCACAGAUCGAAGAAUCUAAGAUCACAGUCGAGAUCGUGAGGUCGAGGGGAGCACGAUCAUACCAUUUUCAGCUUGUAGUUGUGUUAGUGAGGUCCCAAGGAGCCUCGGAGUGCAUCGUUGGACGGAAGUGGACGUCAGAAUAGCUUGGUUCGAGCUUGGCCGGUUAUGGAGUUUUUGGACAGGUGACAUGUAUCCCGAGGACGAGCGUGCUCACGCGAGGCAGGGGGGCUACGACCCUUCCACGUAUCAGUUUUAGCUAGCUAGCAGGUUCGGUGGUUUCCCAGAGGGCUUCCCGGCGCUUCUGACAGACACGCACCAAUGUAGGGUCACUUCGGGUGCACUGUUAUCGUAUUAUGUUAAUUUGGACUGCUGUAGACUUAAUGCUCUGAACUUAGCGGUUCACUCGCACUAGCACUCUUUACUUUGACCUUAUGUAUGCUAGUUUUUAAUUAAUCGUACUUUUAUAU